GGUGACAUGGCCGAGUGGUCCAAGGCGCUGGAAUUAGGAAGAAUCCGAACAUCCAGUCCGAAAGGGCGUGGGUUCGAACCCCACUGUCAUCA